GAUGAACGCUGGCGGCGUGCCUAAUACAUGCGAGUCGAGCGAACGGACGAGAAGCUUGCUUCUCUGAUGUUAGCGGCGGACGGGUGAGUAACACGUGGAUAACCUACCUAUAAGACUGGGAUAACUUCGGGAAACCGGAGCUAAUACCGGAUAAUAUUUUGAACCGCAUGGUUCAAAAGUGAAAGACGGUCUUGCUGUCACUUAUAGAUGGAUCCGCGCUGCAUUAGCUAGUUGGUAAGGUAACGGCUUACCAAGGCAACGAUGCAUAGCCGACCUGAGAGGGUGAUCGGCCACACUGGAACUGAGCCACGGUCCAGACUCCUACGGGAGGCAGCAGUAGGGAAUCUUCCGCAAUGGGCGAAAGCCUGACGGAGCAACGCCGCGUGAGUGAUGAAGGUCUUCGGAUCGUAAAACUCUGUUAUUAGGGAAGAACAUAUGUGUAAGUAACUGUGCACAUCUUGACGGUACCUAAUCAGAAAGCCACGGCUAACUACGUG
rnacentral:rRNA from 1 species